UUAUUUAAGACAUACCCAGGGCUUUAUUCACUAAACACUGAAAUGUAUGAAUUGCAAAACUACGGCUAAAAUCCUCAAAGUGGGAAAAUUGAACCAAAACAGCAUUUUUUAAAAAUUGAUUUAGCAAUUUACUUUUCAGUCCACUACAAUUAUUAAAUAAACAAACAAAAGCAAUCAGUGGCCAGUUUAUCUCAAAAAGAAAUAUGCUAUAUAAAAUGAAAUUCUGUGCUUUAUUUCUUAAUAAUUAUCUCUUUAAAAUGUGGCAAAAUCUCACAGAGGGAGCAUUAUGUGAGGCGCCAAUGCAUUUUGUGCUGAGAUGGGAAUUUCUUGGAGACCAGUUU